rnacentral:miRNA from 1 species
AACUAAGUUUGUUCUUGGUGUAAGCUUUCAUGUGCAUGCACACUUCUUCAGAUAAACUGAAACAGAAGUCACCAAACCCUUAUUUCAGUGUAUCUGAAGAAGUAUUUAUGCACAUGAAAGCUUAUACCAAGAACAAACUUUGUUGG